UGCCCGCCCACUUGGAUCUACCGUGCUUGUUCAGGCCGACACUGAGAAGAACUUUCUUCCACCCUCAGCCCUUCAGUCUGUUUACCCAUCUACAAAGUAUUGAGGUCAAAGGGGUGGAUUCUGAGCCGGGUGCGAGAGGGAGGACCUGGCUGAGUGACAUACCUGAGAACAAUACCUCAAGUACCCCAACUGGAAUGAGCGCUUUGGCGAGUGUAUGGAGGUGAGAGGACGGACACCUGUGGAA
rnacentral:lncRNA from 1 species